GGGUUGUGAGGUUAAGCGACUAAGCGUACACGGUGGAUGCCCUGGCAGUCAGAGGCGAUGAAGGACGUGCUAAUCUGCGAUAAGCGUCGGUAAGGUGAUAUGAACCGUUAUAACCGGCGAUUUCCGAAUGGGGAAACCCAGUGUGUUUCGACACACUAUCAUUAACUGAAUCCAUAGGUUAAUGAGGCGAACCGGGGGAACUGAAACAUCUAAGUACCCCGAGGAAAAGAAAUCAACCGAGAUUCCCCCAGUAGCGGCGAGCGAACGGGGAGCAGCCCAGAGCCUGAAUCAGUGUGUGUGUUAGUGGAAGCGUCUGGAAAGGCGUGCGAUACAGGGUGACAGCCCCGUACACAAAAAUGCACAUGCUGUGAGCUCGAUGAGUAGGGCGGGACACGUGGUAUCCUGUCUGAAUAUGGGGGGACCAUCCUCCAAGGCUAAAUACUCCUGACUGACCGAUAGUGAACCAGUACCGUGAGGGAAAGGCGAAAAGAACCCCGGCGAGGGGAGUGAAAAAGAACCUGAAACCGUGUACGUACAAGCAGUGGGAGCACGCUUAGGCGUGUGACUGCGUACCUUUUGUAUAAUGGGUCAGCGACUUAUAUUCUGUAGCAAGGUUAACCGAAUAGGGGAGCCGAAGGGAAACCGAGUCUUAACUGGGCGUUAAGUUGCAGGGUAUAGACCCGAAACCCGGUGAUCUAGCCAUGGGCAGGUUGAAGGUUGGGUAACACUAACUGGAGGACCGAACCGACUAAUGUUGAAAAAUUAGCGGAUGACUUGUGGCUGGGGGUGAAAGGCCAAUCAAACCGGGAGAUAGCUGGUUCUCCCCGAAAGCUAUUUAGGUAGCGCCUCGUGAAUUCAUCUCCGGGGGUAGAGCACUGUUUCGGCAAGGGGGUCAUCCCGACUUACCAACCCGAUGCAAACUGCGAAUACCGGAGAAUGUUAUCACGGGAGACACACGGCGGGUGCUAACGUCCGUCGUGAAGAGGGAAACAACCCAGACCGCCAGCUAAGGUCCCAAAGUCAUGGUUAAGUGGGAAACGAUGUGGGAAGGCCCAGACAGCCAGGAUGUUGGCUUAGAAGCAGCCAUCAUUUAAAGAAAGCGUAAUAGCUCACUGGUCGAGUCGGCCUGCGCGGAAGAUGUAACGGGGCUAAACCAUGCACCGAAGCUGCGGCAGCGACGCUGAUGCGUUGUUGGGUAGGGGAGCGUUCUGUAAGCCUGCGAAGGUGUGCUGUGAGGCAUGCUGGAGGUAUCAGAAGUGCGAAUGCUGACAUAAGUAACGAUAAAGCGGGUGAAAAGCCCGCUCGCCGGAAGACCAAGGGUUCCUGUCCAACGUUAAUCGGGGCAGGGUGAGUCGACCCCUAAGGCGAGGCCGAAAGGCGUAGUCGAUGGGAAACAGGUUAAUAUUCCUGUGCUUGGUGUUACUGCGAAGGGGGGACGGAGAAGGCUAUGUUGGCCGGGCGACGGUUGUCCCGGUUUAAGCGUGUAGGCUGGUUUUCCAGGCAAAUCCGGAAAAUCAAGGCUGAGGCGUGAUGACGAGGCACUACGGUGCUGAAGCAACAAAUGCCCUGCUUCCAGGAAAAGCCUCUAAGCAUCAGGUAACAUCAAAUCGUACCCCAAACCGACACAGGUGGUCAGGUAGAGAAUACCAAGGCGCUUGAGAGAACUCGGGUGAAGGAACUAGGCAAAAUGGUGCCGUAACUUCGGGAGAAGGCACGCUGAUAUGUAGGUGAAGUCCCUCGCGGAUGGAGCUGAAAUCAGUCGAAGAUACCAGCUGGCUGCAACUGUUUAUUAAAAACACAGCACUGUGCAAACACGAAAGUGGACGUAUACGGUGUGACGCCUGCCCGGUGCCGGAAGGUUAAUUGAUGGGGUCAGCGCAAGCGAAGCUCUUGAUCGAAGCCCCGGUAAACGGCGGCCGUAACUAUAACGGUCCUAAGGUAGCGAAAUUCCUUGUCGGGUAAGUUCCGACCUGCACGAAUGGCGUAAUGAUGGCCAGGCUGUCUCCACCCGAGACUCAGUGAAAUUGAACUCGCUGUGAAGAUGCAGUGUACCCGCGGCAAGACGGAAAGACCCCGUGAACCUUUACUAUAGCUUGACACUGAACAUUGAGCCUUGAUGUGUAGGAUAGGUGGGAGGCUU
rnacentral:rRNA from 1 species